rnacentral:rRNA from 1 species
GCCGGAGCUUGCUCUGGUGAAUUAGUGGCGAACGGGUGAGUAACACGUGAGUAAUCUGCCCUUGACUCUGGGAUAACUGCGGGAAACUGUAGCUAAUACCGGAUACGACACCUUGGGGCAUCCCAUGGGUGUGGAAAGAAUUUCGGUCAAGGAUGAACUCGCGGCCUAUCAGCUAGUUGGUGAGGUAAUGGCUCACCAAGGCGACGACGGGUAGCCGGCCUGAGAGGGUGACCGGCCACACUGGGACUGAGACACGGCCCAGACUCCUACGGGAGGCAGCAGUGGGGAAUAUUGCACAAUGGGCGCAAGCCUGAUGCAGCAACGCCGCGUGAGGGAUGAAGGCCUUCGGGUUGUAAACCUCUUUUAGUUGGGAAGAAGCGAAAGUGACGGUACCAACAGAAAAAGCACCGGCUAACUACGUGCCAGCAGCCGCGGUAAUACGUAGGGUGCAAGCGUUGUCCGGAAUUAUUGGGCGUAAAGAGCUCGUAGGCGGUUUGUCGCGUCUGCUGUGAAAAUCCGAGGCUCAACCUCGGACCUGCAGUGGGUACGGGCAGACUAGAGUGCGGUAGGGGAGAAGGGAAUUCCUGGUGUAGCGGUGGAAUGCGCAGAUAUCAGGAGGAACACCGAUGGCGAAGGCACUUCUCUGGGCCGUAACUGACGCUGAGGAGCGAAAGCGUGGGGAGCGAACAGGAUUAGAUACCCUGGUAGUCCACGCCGUAAACGGUGGGUGCUAGUUGUGGGCCACAUUCCACGUGGUCCGUGACGCAGCU